UACAGAGGGUGCAAGCGUUAAUCGGAAUUACUGGGCGUAAAGCGUGCGUAGGCGGUUAUGUAAGUCAGAUGUGAAAGCCCAGGGCUCAACCUUGGAAUUGCAUUUGAGACUGCAUAGCUAGGGUGCGGAAGAGGGAAGCGGAAUUUCCGGUGUAGCGGUGAAAUGCGUAGAUAUCGGAAGGAACACCAGUGGCGAAAGCGGCUUCCUGGUCCAGCACCGACGUUCAGGCACGAAAGCGUGGGGAGCAAACAGG
rnacentral:rRNA from 1 species